rnacentral:rRNA from 1 species
CCUACGGGAGGCAGCAGUGGGGAAUCUUGCACAAUGGAGGAAACUCUGAUGCAGCGAUGCCGCGUGAGUGAAGAAGGCCUUUGGGUUGUAAAGCUCUUUUGUAGGGGAAGAUAAUGACUGUACCCUAAGAAUAAGGUCCGGCUAACUUCGUGCCAGCAGCCGCGGUAAUACGAAGGGACCUAGCGUAGUUCGGAAUUACUGGGCGUAAAGCGCGCGUAGGCCGUUGAGUUAGUUAAUUGUGAAAUCCCAAAGCUUAACUUUGGAACUGCAAUUAAAACUGCUCGACUAGAGUUUGAUAGAGGAAAGCGGAAUACAUAGUGUAGAGGUGAAAUUCGUAGAUAUUAUGUAGAACACCAGUUGCGAAGGCGGCUUUCUGGAUCAACACUGACGCUGAGGCGCGAAAGUAUGGGUAGCAAAGAGGAUUAGAUACCCUCGUAGUCCAUACCAUAAACGAUGAUUGCUAGAUGUUGGAAAUUUAUUUUCAGUAUCGCANCUACGCAUANANAUCGCCGUGGAGUACGACGCAGACUAACUACAAGAAUAGAGCGNGAGACGNGCGACGACGACACGAGGAGAG